GCUGGGCUGCAGUAGCCCUAGCGCGGGAAACCUUGUAGCGACCCAGUUUCACCCGGGUUCGAAUCCCGGCCCCGGCUCCA
rnacentral:tRNA from 1 species